rnacentral:rRNA from 1 species
ACAUGCAAGUCGUACGAGGCGGCCCACUGAUUCAGAUUGAGAUCUGGAGUGCUUGCACAAAGGAAGGAUUCUGAUGAUGUGGAUUCUCCGCCUAGUGGCAAACGGGUGAGUAACACGUGGGUUACCUGCCUCAUAGACCGGGAUACCGUUUGGAAACGAACGUUAAUACCGGAUGUUGUCUACGGACUAAAGGGAGCCUUUAAAGCUCCGCUAUGAGAUGGGCCUGCGGUGCAUUAGAUAGUUGGUGAGGUAAUGGCCCACCAAGUCGACGAUGCAUAGCUGAACUGAGAGGUUGAUCGGCCACACUGGGACUGAUACACGGCCCAGACUCCUACGGGAGACAGCAGUUAGGAAUAUUCGUCAAUGGGGGAAACCCUGAACGAGCAAUGCCGCGUGAAUUGAUGAAGGCCCUAUGGGUUGUAAAAUUCUGUUGUUUGGGAAGAACUACAGAAAUAGGAAAUGAUUUCUGUUUGACGGUACCAUUCAAGAAAGCUCCGGCUAACUACGUGCCAGCAGCCGC